GAGUGCUACAGCUCUUUCAGAAUUUACCUAGCAGAUUUUUCAGUUUUUACUAGAAAAACCAGU
ensembl:snRNA U7 U7 small nuclear RNA